AUUCAUCCUGCUAUCCUCAGCUCACACCCUCUAUCCCUCUGCCAAUCUUCUUGUUGUUUUGCUCAGUAAUGCUUUCUUUUAGAAAUUGCUCAGUUUCCCUGGAAAGGGGUUAUUGAAUUCCAAUGAUGGCUGCCCUUGUUGCUCUGGAGGGAACUCCCCACUUCCAGGGCUCUGUGACUCCAUCUUUGGAGAAUGCUGCUCUCUCUGUGAGAGGGUAAAACAGCUGCUCCUGGCUGAGGCUGCUCAGCUGGCAGAAGGUGGAGCUUCAGGCAAAGUCAGAGCCGAGGGGGGCCCUGCCCUGGGCGUGGCAGGAACCCUGUGUUGUCGGGUGAGGUUUGGACAGCAGGCUGUGGCUCAGCUGUUAGGAUGCCCACUUGCCAUGGUUGACAUGGACUCUCCUGAAGUUGCGAGCAGACACAUUCAUUCUGUGGACAUCUCUUGAUUCCUUGGUGUGACAGAGAGGUACCGGUGAUAGAGGUGCCAGGGCUUUGGGCCCAUUUGGCUGAGGAUACAUUGAAAUUAAUAUUUUCAUUCUAUAAUGUGCUUUCUGCUCAAAUAUGAGCACUUGAGUUCUUUCCCACCCGGCACCCACAUAAAAUGCCAGGCAUGAUGGUGGCACUGUCGUAAGUUACGCACCAGCUCACAUACAGCGUGUGACGCUGAGGAACAGCCCUUCUGAGGCUUGCUUAGGAUGACGUCACUGACCACCCACCCUUGUUAGUUGUGUCCAUCUUGUCUCUGUGGCUUUAAACAAGGUAUUUUGCUGCUGAGAAAGUGUGGUCCGUCCAAUUCCAGACUUUAACAAAGACCGCCCAGUCUGCUGCAAAAUAUAAUUUCCCCCAAUGAAGGGUUGCUUUACAAGAAAACAGUGCGUGAUAGUUAUCCCUUGUCCCUUGCCCUGCCUGGACUUCAUUGCAGUCCCUCCCGAGGAGUUCUAUGUCCUUCAAACCUUGCAGUUGGAGAUAGGGGUGUGUAGUGCACGCUCACCUCUGGACUCUCAACUCUCAUAACCACCUUGGGAGAUAGUUGACGUUGUUCCUUGAUUGGCUUAUUGAGUGACUGUGGAGACAGGGUCUUGUGGUGUUGCCCAGGCUGGCUUCAAAUUCAUGAUCCUCCUGCCUCAGCAUCCUAAGUGCUGAGAUUGACUAUAGGUGUGCACCACCACACACAACUUGCCUGGUUUUAGAGCUAGAAGAUACAUUUUACGAUUAAGAAACUCAAUCAAGGCCACACUGGUCAUGAGUAGUGAGGUCAUGCUGAGGCAGGGUUUCCCACUGACCAGGGCUCAGCAAAUUUACCAUUGAGCCAGACUUGUCCCACCCUCUGUUGUACAUAAUGCUAACAGGGACAGCCAUACCCACUGAUGUAUUUGUCAGUGGCUGAAGGGGUGGGCCGCCCUCCUGAAGGGCUUUGGGAGUAGCAAAACACUCAUUUUCGCAGCAAGGCUUUAGGGUUCCGAGACCUAAGGAAGGUCCAGCAUGCCUCCUGGAGGGUCAGGAGUGUUAGGCCGCAAAAAUGUGAUCCGCUCGCAGACAGGCCCAUGAAACAGAUGUUUGGACAUGCUGGAUUACCCAGAGGUAAUUCCUGAGGGCUCUAGAAUGUUCCUGGCCGGAAUCUGAAGAGCUGAUUUGUGAUUCUAGACUCACAGGCUCAGAGGAUGGUUGCCUGAUGGUGAUGUCAUCCCGGGAAACAGGCCCUGGCAGAGGCAAACGGUUCAGGCAGUUUGGGGACUUCCUAAAAUAACAAAGCUGAAGUGUUUGCACUAGACUUCCUGGAGGUGAAAGACUCUUCUGAAAAUGAUCUAAGGACGCGU
rnacentral:lncRNA from 1 species